rnacentral:rRNA from 1 species
GAGUUUGAUCAUGGCUCAGAUUGAACGCUGGCGACAGGCCUAACACAUGCAAGUCGAGCGAGAAAGCACUUCGGUGUGAGUAGAGCGGCGGACGAGCGGCGGACGGGUGAGUAACGCGUAGGAAUUUGCCCAGUAGUGGGGGACAACAUGUGGAAACGCAUGCUAAUACCGCAUACGCCCUAUGGGGGAAAGCAGGGGAUCUUCGGACCUUGCGCUAUUGGAGAAGCCUGCGUCGGAUUAGCUAGUUGGUGGGGUAAAGGCCCACCAAGGCGACGAUCCGUAGCUGGUCUUAGAGGAUGACCAGCCACACUGGAACUGAGACACGGUCCAGACUCCUACGGGAGGCAGCAGUGGGGAAUAUUGCACAAUGGAGGAAACUCUGAUGCAGCCAUGCCGCGUGUGUGAAGAAGGCUUUCGGGUUGUAAAGCACUUUCAGCGAGGAGGAAAGGGUAGUUAUUAAUACUAACUAUCUGUGACGUUACUCGCAGAAGAAGCACCGGCUAACUUCGUGCCAGCAGCCGCGGUAAUACGAGGGGUGCAAGCGUUAAUCGGAAUUACUGGGCGUAAAGCGUUCGUAGGCGGUUAUUUAAGCAAGAUGUGAAAGCCCAGGGCUCAACCUUGGAACUGCAUUUUGAACUGGGUAACUAGAGUACUGUAGAGGGUGGUGGAAUUUCCAGUUAGCGGUGAAAUGCGUAGAGAUUGGAAGGAACGAACAGUAUUCGCUCCCCUGGUAGUCCACGCCGUAAACGAUGUCAACUAGCCGUUUGUGUCCUUGAGACGUGAGUGGCGCAGCUAACGCACUAAGUUGACCGCCUGGGGAGUACGGCCGCAAGGUUAAAACUCAAAUGAAUUGACGGGGGCCCGCACAAGCGGUGGAGCAUGUGGUUUAAUUCGAUGCAACGCGAAGAACCUUACCAUCCCUUGACAUCCACAGAAGCUUUCAGAGAUGAAUUGGUGCCUUCGGGAACUGUGAGACAGGUGCUGCAUGGCUGUCGUCAGCUCGUGUUAUGUAAUGUUGGGUUAAGUCCCGCAACGAGCGCAACCCCUAUCCUUAGUUGCCAGCACGUAAUGGUGGGAACUCUAAGGAGACUGCCGGUGAUAAACCGGAGGAAGGUGGGGACGACGUCAAGUCAUCAUGGCCCUUAUGAGUAGGGCUACACACGUGCUACAAUGGUCAGUACAGAGGGUUGCCAAGCCGCGAGGUGGAGCUAAUCCCAGAAAGCUGUUCGUAGUCCGGAUUGGAGUCUGCAACUCGACUCCAUGAAGUCGGAAUCGCUAGUAAUCGCGGAUCAGAAUGCCGCGGUGAAUACGUUCCCGGGCCUUGUACACACCGCCCGUCACACCAUGGGACUGGAUUGCACCAGAAGUGGCUAGUUUAACCUUCGGGAGAACGGUCACCACGGUGUGGUUCAUGACUGGGGUGAAGUCGUAACAAGGUAGCCCUAGGGGAACCUGGGGCUGGAUCACCUCCUUU